rnacentral:rRNA from 1 species
GACGAACGCUGGCGGCGUGCCUAAUACAUGCAAGUCGAACGAGAGCGACCGGUGCUUGCACUGGUCAAUCUAGUGGCGAACGGGUGAGUAACACGUGGGUAACCUGCCCAUCAGAGGGGGAUAACAUCCGGAAACGGAUGCUAAAACCGCAUAGGUCUUCGAGCCGCAUGGCUUGAAAAGGAAAAGAGGCGCAAGCUUCUGCUGAUGGAUGGACCCGCGGUGCAUUAGCUAGUUGGUGAGGUAACGGCUCACCAAGGCCGUGAUGCAUAGCCGACCUGAGAGGGUGAUCGGCCACAUUGGGACUGAGACACGGCCCAAACUCCUACGGGAGGCAGCAGUAGGGAAUCUUCCGCAAUGGACGCAAGUCUGACGGAGCAACGCCGCGUGAGUGAAGAAGGUUUUCUGAUCGUAAAACUCUGUUGUUAGAGAAGAACAAGUGCUAGAGUAACUGUUAGCGCCUUGACGGUAUCUAACCAGAAAGCCACGGCUAACUACGUG